rnacentral:misc_RNA from 1 species
AAGUCGUAACAAGGUUUCCGUAGGUGAACCUGCGGAAGGAUCAUUAUCGAGUCUUUGAAAGAGGUUGUAGCUGGUCCUUAGGGGCAUGUGCACGCCUCGCUCAUCCCAACUCUCUCAACCCCUGUGAACCCACUGUAGGUCGCGGUACUUCCAAAGGGAAGGGUGUUCGGGGCGCGAGCCCCUAACCUUGAACUGAGGGUCCGUCCUACGUCUUUAACAAACACCCAAAAUGUAUCAGAAUGUAUUCGCGCUUAAUAAACGCAUCAAUAUAACUUUCAGCAACGGAUCUCUUGGCUCUC